rnacentral:snRNA from 1 species
GAAUUUUCACUGUUCCCUU